GAGCCUUGGGACGCGAAGGCAGUAGCACGCAGCGCCAUGUCAAGCGCACUGACCUCGGCGACAAGAGACCAGUACACUUAACAAGAGUAAGAGAGCCUUGGGACAACACUGGACGAGGGCGUCGACUAAAGGAGCGCGAAGACGUCUUCCUCCAAAAUCUUGCCGAGGGUUCUUAAAUAUAUGUUCACCAAUUCAGAUGAACCGCUUCUUUUAUGUGCAUACUGGAUAUUGUCAUAUAUGUAGAAGGUUAUACAAUAUAUCAAGGCAAAACAAAACAGAGAGGAGGCUGGGGCUCGGGCAAGGGAGGCUGCGCUCCACCUCUGCAUACACGGAUGGAUGGAUGAUGAGCGCAGAUUCAGGCGCUGCAGCUCACCUCAGAGAUGCAUGGCCUAAAGAGGCAAAUCAUGCGUUAUUUUUCUUUGCCUUCUGCUUCCUCCGGCACUCUGAUUUUGAUUGACUAAUAUAUGGGCUUUCUAAAAUGUGUAUCUGCAAAUCUGGGAAAGAAGAGAAGGGAAGAAGGGGAAUCUAGCGAACAAAGGAAAUAAGAUAUCAGGACAAGGCUAGGAGAGAAGUAUGGUGAAAAGCAUUUUUUGCUUUGUUAAUGUAAGCUUGCUUAU